rnacentral:rRNA from 1 species
CUUAGAUGAUCGGCUCAAGAUGAACGCUGGCGGCGUGCCUAAUACAUGCAAGUCGAGCGAACGGACGAGAAGCUUGCUUCUCUGAUGUUAGCGGCGGACGGGUGAGUAACACGUGGAUAACCUACCUAUAAGACUGGGAUAACUUCGGGAAACCGGAGCUAAUACCGGAUAAUAUUUUGAACCGCAUGGUUCAAAAGUGAAAGACGGUCUUGCUGUCACUUAUAGAUGGAUCCGCGCUGCAUUAGCUAGUUGGUAAGGUAACGGCUUACCAAGGCAACGAUGCAUAGCCGACCUGAGAGGGUGAUCGGCCACACUGGAACUGAGACACGGUCCAGACUCCUACGGGAGGCAGCAGUAGGGAAUCUUCCGCAAUGGGCGAAAGCCUGACGGAGCAACGCCGCGUGAGUGAUGAAGGUCUUCGGAUCGUAAAACUCUGUUAUUAGGGAAGAACAUAUGUGUAAGUAACUGUGCACAUCUUGACGGUACCUAAUCAGAAAGCCACGGUAACUACGUGCCAGCAGCCGCGGUAAUACGUAGGUGGCAAGCGUUAUCCGGAAUNAUGGGGCGUAAAGCGCGCGUAGGCGGUUUUAAGUCUGAUGUGAAAGCCCAGGNUCAACCGUGGAGGGUCUUGGGAAACUGGAAAACUUGAGUGCGAAGAGGACGUGGAUUCCAUGUGUACGGUGAAUGGCAAAGAUUUGGAGGAACCACCAGUGGCGAAGGCGACUUCCGGGUCUGAAUGACGCUGAUUGUGCGACAGCGUGGGGAUCACACGGAUAGAUACCUGGUAGU